rnacentral:RNase_P_RNA from 1 species
GAAGCAAACUGGUUCUAUCGCUGCUCUUUGAGAGGAGAGGAAAGUCCGGGCAACAUAGAGCGACACGCUUCCUAACGGGAAGGCACUUGCCUGGUGCAAGUGACAGAAAGUGCCACAGAGAAUAUACCGCCAUAGCAAUAUGGUAAGGGUGAAAACGUGAGGUAAGAGCUCACGGUCUUGUAUGGUAACAUGCAUUACGGUAAACCUCGUGUGUUGAAAGACCAAAUAGGUUGUAUAAUUCGAAGGCUGCUCGUCUUCUGUUGCGUGCAACAUAUACAAUGGGUAGGUUGAUGGAGCUUGUGUGUGAAUGCAAGCCUAGAUAAAUGAUAGAAAUCCUGCAAAGGAUACAGAACCCGGCUUACAAGGUUUGCUUCUUUU